ensembl:rRNA 5S_rRNA 5S ribosomal RNA
GCCAGCAGCCACAUCACCCUGCAACUCACAACUGGCAACCCACUGAAUUAAAGCAGAUGUGAGCCUGGUCAGUACCUGGAUGGGAGACUUCCUGGGAAAAACUAAGGUUGCUGCUGGAA